ACCACUUCUUGGCCUUUUCACUAAGAUCAAGUGUAGUAUCUGUUCUUCUCAGUUUAAUAUAUGAUAUGCCUUCUAUCCAAGGACAAAAUAUUAAGUGGAUUUUUGAGAUAUGUUAAUUAGUUUCAUUUAUACUAGUAGUUUAUCUUAG
rnacentral:snRNA from 1 species